CUCAGGGCGUCGGGCUUGUGAUAUGUGCAAUCACAGAGAGCAAGGUACCUUAUACAUAAAUAAUCACCUUAACCAUCAAGAGACUUAACUACGAAAAAAAUAACAGUGAAGUGGAACAAGACUUGCUUACUUUACCUAUUUCAUUAACUUUAUGGGUUCUGCCAUAAUUAAACAUAAAACUAUCGAUUCAACUGUAAAAAGUACUUUAACCAUAUACCUAUUAGCGGCCGGUGCCUAAUACGAUACCUACUAUACUAUCUAUAGUCUAGAAAUGAAGUUAACGUUUUUAACGGGAAUAUUGUUCAUUAUUGUUACUCAUAUUCAUGUUUCAGACUGUAACAGUGCGAAGAACAAUUAUGAUAAGUCUCCCAUGGAACGUCGCCAGAUAUUGGUAAGGAACAUAAUUAACAAAAUCACUGAUUUAUCGUUGGCCUCGUUUGCAAAUGCUUCUCUCAAAGAAAUACCACAAUUAAUGAAAAAUAUAAGAAACCAAUUGAAAUCGGCUUCUAAAUUCACUGGAGCACGUGGAGAUAGAUACGUAGAACUACUAAUGGAUGGCAUAAAAUCAAUUGUAGCCAGUAAAAACAAGUUAGGUGAAAUUGAGUCCGCAAACGCACUCGACUCUGAUGAUUUCGAAAAAUAUGAUCUAAAAAAUACUCGUGACUCAAACGAUGACUCGAGCGACAAAGUAAAAACAUCACACGUGAGUGAAAAAUAUGAAGAGGAUGAGUGUGAUUGCAGUUGUGUCGAAGAAAG